rnacentral:rRNA from 1 species
UGUCCUACGGGGGGCAGCAGUGAGGAAUAUUGGUCAAUGGGAGAGAUCCUGAACCAGCCAAGCCGCGUGAGGGAAGACGGCCCUAUGGGUUGUAAACCUCUUUUGUCGGAGAACAAAACCCGGGACGUGUCCCGGACUGCGUGUAUCCGAAGAAAAAGCAUCGGCUAACUCCGUGCCAGCAGCCGCGGUAAUACGGAGGAUGCGAGCGUUAUCCGGAUUUACUGGGUGUAAAGGGAGCGCAGGCGGCGUGGCAAGUCAGAUGUGAAAACCCGGGGCCCAACCCCGGGAGUGCAUUUGAAACUGCC